GGUUGUGGCUCAGUGGUAGAGCGCUCGCCUAGCAUGUGCGAGGCCCUGGGCUUAAUCCUCACCAUCA
rnacentral:tRNA from 1 species